AUGAUGCCCGGAGGAGCUUCCUUCGCUCAAAGGCUUGAGCAACUGCUGGAGAACUAUGCGUCGCAGCAUUUCUGGGAACCAAGAUAUAGGGUGAACUUCAUCUGUGGCGUGGAGGCACUCGGCGGCGGCUGGACAGCAUACGGCAAGCGUUACACUGUCAAUUUCAUGGCUGCUUCUGAAUCACCGCUUCAAAUCAACACCCUCUUCUUCGCUGAAUUCGGGGAAUCGGAGCCUGGUCAUUGGUUUGGGAACCGUGGUCCGAAUGCUGCUGAGCCAAAGCCAGAUUUCUGCUGCCCUUUGCCCCCUCCAUAUAUAGGUCGUUGCUACUAUGGCCCGCAUUCCGCGAGGAAGCUCGUCUAUCCGAAUCUCGCCGACUAUCUCAAGGGCGAUAUGACCGCACAUGGAACCGAAAAUGUGGAUGGCAUGAUAGAGACAGAUCUUGUCUAUUUCAGUUCUCACGGAGACGUGGAGUUUGCAGCAAAACUCAACAGCUACUAUGAAUCAGACUCUUCAACGUGGAGCCGGCCAUUCAUACUUGAUGACGAAGAGAACGCUCGGAGACCACUUUUCUCCUCCAUCUUGCCAUUCUGCAAACAGCCGGAGCUGGCGUAA
rnacentral:rRNA from 1 species